UGAGUGAAGAAGGUCUUCGGAUCGUAAAACUCUGUCCUUGGUGAAGAUAAUGACGGUAGCCAAGGAGGAAGCCCCGGCUAACUACUUGCCAGCAGCCGCGGUAAUACUUAGGGGGCGAGCGUUGUCCGGAUUUACUGGGCGUAAAGGGUGAGUAAGCGGUAAUAUGUGUCAGAUGUAAAAGGCUAAGGCUUAACCAUAGUUAGCAUUUGAAACUGUAUUACUUGAGUGCAGGAGAAGUAAGUGGAAUUCCUAGUGUAACGGUGAAAUGCGUAUAUAUUAGGAGGAACACCAAUGGCGAAAGCGACUUACUGGACUGUAACUGACGCUGAAUCACCAAAGCGUGGGUAGCAAACAAGAUUAGAUACCCUGGUAAUCCACGCCGUAAACAAUGAGUGCUAGGUGUUGGGUAGCAAUACUCAUUGCCGAAGUAAACACAAUAAGCACUCCGCCUGGGGAGUACGGUCGCAAGACUGAAAC
rnacentral:rRNA from 1 species